UACGUAGGUGACAAGCGUUGUCCGGAUUUACUGGGCGUAAAGAGCGCGCAGGCGGUCGAUCAAGUCGAGUGUGAAAGCCCCCGGCUCAACUGGGGAGGGUCAUUCGAUACUGGUCGACUCGAAGGCAGGAGAGGGAAGCGGAAUUCCCGGUGUAGUGGUGAAAUGCGUAGAUAUCGGGAGGAACACCAGUGGCGAAGGCGGCUUCCUGGCCUGUUCUUGACGCUGAGGCGCGAAAGCUAGGGGAGCAAACGGG
rnacentral:rRNA from 1 species